GAAGCCCACAAUUCAUAGUCCCUGCACCUCUGUUUUCCUUUCUUUCUUCUUCCUCGAGAAAACCCACGCAUAAUCCCAUUGAAAAAAAAAUCCCUGCUCCACCUUUGCUCUUCUUUCCUCCGUGAAAAGCAUCCUUUACCAAUUUUCUAGUCAUGUGUUACAAGCAGAUGAUAGUGCGGACAACUACGACACCGCUGAUGAGGACCUUGUUGGUGAGAUGGCAUUUUCCAGUCAUGGAAAGCAAAGGUGUAAGUGCUUGGAAUGCAGGAACUAUGACUAUAGGACAAUCUUGAAGCUGUGGAAGGAGUUUUAUGCUCAAUUUCAAGCAUCCAAAUGGUGGACCAUAACACACAUGAAAUUGAUUCCGAAGCAGUGGAGAGAGAGAGAGAGAGAGAUAGAGUUGCAGGAAGCUUUUGUGUGACUAGUUUGCUGAUUUCUUUCUUCGACCAUAGACUUGGAAUCGAAUUAUGAAAUCACUCAGACCACUGAGUUCUUUAGCAGUGGCGGCUUCACCAGAGUCGCUUUACAGAUGAGCUCCUAAAUGAUUUAGUGAUAGUUGGGAGAGUUUUGCUGGACAAGCUUAGGUGUCUACGAGAAUCUCUAUGAGAUCCCACUUCGGUUGGAAAGGGGAACGAAGCAUGGCUUAUAAGCAUGUGGAUACCUUUAUCUUGUAAACGCGUUUUAAACCCGUGAGGGCUGGGUUGUAAGAGGAUUCCCCAGCCCUAAAGCGGACAAUAUCUACAUGCGGGUGGUCUGGGCUGUCACAGAUGGUAUCAGAGCCAGAUCCGGAUCGGUGUGCCAGUGAGGAAGCUGGGCCCCAAGGGGGAAGGAUUGUGAGAUCCCACAUCGUUUGGAAAGGAAAAGGAAGCAUGGCUUAUAAGCGUGUGGAUACCUUUCCCUUGUAGACGCGUUUUAAACCCGUGAGGGCUGGGUUGUAAGAGGAUUCCCCAAGUCCAAAGCGGACAAUAUCUACAUGCGGGUGGUCUGGGCUAUCACAAUCUCAAUCUGAUAUUGACUGGAAUGGCAACAUAAAACAUGUAUCUUUGUGUAUGAUGGCCGACACAGCGUACGGUAGCUAUUGCGUGGAUGAGGUCGGAGCAUUGCACAUCAAUGCUGAUUAUGUCGUGCACUACGGCCAUGCAUGCUUCAGCUCGACUACAACUCUUCCAGGAUUCUUUGUUUUUGGAAAAGCUUCAACUGGUGUGUCCAAUUGUGUAAAAAAUUUAUCAGAUCAUGCUGUGAGAAAUGGCAAACAUGUCCUGGUCCCCUUUGGGCUAGAAUAUGCACAUUUGAUAUAGCAUAUGAGAGAUGAAGUGGUAGAAGCAUGUAUGUGUAGCUCUAGAUUAGAAAUCCAAUUUGCUGAAACUAUGUCUUCAGACAUAAAUCCAUCAGAAUCUCGUAAGAUCUCCAAUGGGAGCUUGGAAGCAGCUAGUGUCUUCUCUGAUGAUAAAUGUAUCAUGACAGUAGUUGGUAAUAGAUAUACCAUUGGAGGCUUGGUCUGGGAAUUACAUGAGGAACACAAAAUGGAGGACUGCUUGUUUUUUGUUUGCAAGUGUUGUACUGACGUUAAAUGGUUGUGAAAUAGAUAUGAUGCAAAGUCAAAUUGCAUGGUGACAGACUUAUCUCAACAAAGAAGAAUUCUUAAGCAUAGAUGUUACCUGGUCAAGAGAAGGUAAAGGAUAUGAACACUGUUGGUAUUCUGGUUGGAACUCUUGGUGUAGGUAAAACUGAGUCUUUAGAUCCAAAAACAACUAUUCUUGUACCCGAAGACAAAUAUAGACUUCAUGCAAUUGAUACAUUGGACCCUGACAUGGUAAGGCCUAAAUUCUAUUCUUUAAAUUUAUUUAAGUUCUUAUAUUAUGAAGCUAAUUUUUGCUUCUAUUUUGCUACUUGUAUGAAUUUUUUUUAAGGAGAAACUUCUAGAUUUCCUUUGUAGAUAUUUCUUACUGUCCUAGUUUUGGAAGAUUACCUACAUCCUUCUAGAAUCCCAAACCUGUUGUUGAUAUCCUGAACAAUUCCUUCCUUCUAUCUUGCCAGUUUUGUUGUUUGUGUUGUUCAAAGUGUAAUAUGAAAUAUUUAUUCCAGUUCAAACUAAAGCUCAAAUAACCAAUUCUAAUGGCAUCUUAUGGAGUAUAUGUAGGCAACAUCAGAAAUUUUUAUAUUAUAAUGAGCGGCCCAUCCUAUUAAGUGGCAUCUUUAACAAUGUAUUUAUUUAUAUGUUUUUACUAGUUGGUUUAUGCAGACAAGUUUCACUUUGAACUAUAUGUCUCUCACAAUAACUUCAUGUAAGAUUCUUUAAUAAAAAUUUUCAAUCUUUCACUCUUAAUAUGGUAAUGUUGCUAACCUGUUAACCUUACUAGUAUAUGUAGGAAAUUGAUAAUAAAGCUCUGCCUCCUAGAGUUUAUUACUUUACAUUUUGAAAGGCAGAGGAUGUGGUUAGCUCUUAGCAACAUGCUAGAAAAGGAUUUUGUCUUAGGCAAAAUUGCAAUCAACAAAGCAAACAACUUUGAUGACAGACACCUAUUGUCUUCAACAUGUUGCCUUCUUUUGAUUAAAAUAGAAAAAAAAAAGUUCACUGACAAAAUAAGUGAUGGUGAUUGAAGUAGAUCAGAAAUUUCAGGUUUUCAUAGAAGAAAAAAAAAUUGAACAGCCUUUGCAAUUGUAGAGCAUAAAAGUUACUAGUGCAGGUUCUGCCUUAGUGAAGAAUGUUUUAUUUUCUGGAGCUUCUUGGGUUGUUGGUGCUUUAAAUAAGAUUGUGAAACCAGCCAGAAGAUUGAGGAGAACAUAGGAAAGUGAUUGAAUAGGAACAAAAAGAAGAAAAAUGGCAUAAAACUAUGCUCAAGCUUAUCCAUCUGAGUCUACACCAAGCAAGGAUCAACCAUCUGAGGAUGAACCUGCUCAAGGUUUGAUGCUGAGAUAUGGUUCUGUAAAGUAAAUACUUUUUAGCAUUUGUAUUCAAUUCUAUUUAGAAGUGGCCCUUUUCUAGGCCAUUGGGUGAUUGAUGAGAGUUCAUCUAUGCCUUUAUAUAUGACAAUUUCCUAUAAUUUACUGAUGUUUAUGGAGCUAUCUAUUUCUUUUUUCAUAUGUUCU